UACGUAGGUGGCGAUCGUUGUCCGGAUUUACUGGGCGUAAGGAGCGCGCAGGCGGUCGUGCAAGUCGGAUGUGAAAGCCCCCGGCUCAACUGGGGAGGGUCAUUCGAUACUGCUCGACUUGAAGGCGGGAGAGGGAAGCGGAAUUCCCGGUGUAGUGGUGAAAUGCGUAGAUAUCGGGAGGAACACCAGUGGCGAAGGCGGCUUCCUGGCCCGUUCUUGACGCUGAGGCGCGAAAGCUAGGGGAGAAAACGGG
rnacentral:rRNA from 1 species